rnacentral:rRNA from 1 species
AUUGAACGCUGGCGGCAUGCCUUACACAUGCAAGUCGAACGGCAGCACGGGUGCUUGCACCUGGUGGCGAGUGGCGAACGGGUGAGUAAUACAUCGGAACAUGUCCUGUAGUGGGGGAUAGCCCGGCGAAAGCCGGAUUAAUACCGCAUACGAUCCACGGAUGAAAGCGGGGGACCUUCGGGCCUCGCGCUAUAGGGUUGGCCGAUGGCUGAUUAGCUAGUUGGUGGGGUAAAGGCUUACCAAGGCGACGAUCAGUAGCUGGUCUGAGAGGACGACCAGCCACACUGGGACUGAGACACGGCCCAGACUCCUACGGGAGGCAGCAGUGGGGAAUUUUGGACAAUGGGCGAAAGCCUGAUCCAGCAAUGCCGCGUGUGUGAAGAAGGCCUUCGGGUUGCAAAGCACUUUUGUCCGGAAAGAAAUCCUUGACUCUAAUACAGUCGGGGGAUGACGGUACCGGAAGAAUAAGCACCGGCUAACUACGUG